UAAAUAAUAAUCAAAGAAAAGAAUAAAUCAUUUUAGGAAAAUGAUGGAUGCUAUUGGGUUAGUAUUUCAUGAUGCAAUAAAGUCAAAGAGUAAUCUUAGGUGACCCCCUCUGUAAACAAUUUCUGAUGUGGUGAAACAAGUAAGUUUCCGAGCACAUACAAUGCAGGAGAACUUCAAAAAAAUGAAAGACAAUAAUGAGAGAAUUCUAUUCAGUGGGAUGAAAUUCCAUACAAGGAACAAAAAUUCACAUGGCAGCUUUAUGUUCUGUUGGUGAUAGAAGAAUUUAAACUUGCUGUAUUAUAUUUCUCUUUUAAUUUUUCUUUCAUUCUACGUGCUCGGAAGCACUGAAACAAGAAUAGAUUGUCAACUUUGUAUCCAUUUCCUCUUGCAAUCAACAGGAAAAUAAUAAGACGAAAAAGAAUAAAAGAAAAUGACAUCUCCUUACUGGAGAAUCAAACAAUGUUUUAUAAACACAGAGACUUAUGAAAAUACCAUGGGAAUUCCCACCAUGUCUACCAGGAAUACUAUCAAGACAUUUUCAUUCCCGAACAACCUACAAAUUUUCACAAGAAAUAAAAUAAAAUUUAGCAUAUCUUUCAUCAUCUACUCAUAUGUAGAUUUGUUGUUGUGAUUGUUGUGGGGAAUUCAUUCCACAUGUAACUGCUUGUAAGCAUCAGUAGAAGAAAGCAAUUUGACUCUUUUUGAAAAAUUAUCUAAACUUACAAUUCAAGCAAUUUAAUAUUAAGGUUCUUAAAUAACCUUUAUUCAAAUAGACCAAAUUCAAGAUGGACAAUAACAUGGAAAAAUGAUGAAAACUAUAAGGCCAAUAAUGAGUGAUCAAACAUACUAGAUGGUGUAUUAGAUCAAGUACUUCCAGUCCAAAAAGUAACUCCAUUCAAUUUCAAAUGCACAACAACCAAAAAAAAAGCAAGAAAGAGUGAUUGUAAAUUUUCAUCAGACAGUAACUCCAUUAAUAGAACAUAUAGCACAUCGAGUGGGGGAUGGAAUUCCAUGAAAGGAACAAAAAAUACAGCAGCCUUUUCUUUUUCUUUUUCUUUUUCUUAUUUUUUAAUGCUAGCAGAAUAUAAACUUGCUACAUGUUUCUCACUGAAAUUUUUUCAUUCUGUGUGCUUGGAAAUAUAAAACAAAACAGACUUGGCUAUAAUGUGAAGUUAUAAAUAAAAGCACACAAAACAUGAUACAAUUUCCUACAACAUACCAAAACUUGCAUGAAAAAAUCAUAAAUAAUAAUCAAAGAAAAGAAUAAAUCAUUUUAGGAAAAUGAUGGAUGCUAUUGGGUUAGUAUUUCAUGAUGCAAUAAAGUCAAAGAGUAAUCUUAGGUGACCCCCUCUGUAAACAAUUUCUGAUGUGGUGAAACAAGUAAGUUUCCGAGCACAUACAAUGCAGGAGAACUUCAAAAAAAUGAAAGACAAUAAUGAGAGAAUUCUAUUCAGUGGGAUGAAAUUCCAUACAAGGAACAAAAAUUCACAUGGCAGCUUUAUGUUCUGUUGGUGAUAGAAGAAUUUAAACUUGCUGUAUUAUAUUUCUCUUUUAAUUUUUCUUUCAUUCUACGUGCUCGGAAGCACUGAAACAAGAAUAGAUUGUCAACUUUGUAUCCAUUUCCUCUUGCAAUCAACAGGAAAA
rnacentral:lncRNA from 1 species